GGGAAAGUGGUCUAGCUUAGGGCAAAAAAAAGAAGGAUCUUCCUUCACCGCUAAAGGCUAUGAUUCGUGGCUUGGGACCACGGGAUCGUGAGUUCAAAUCUCACCUUUCCCACCA
rnacentral:tRNA from 1 species